rnacentral:rRNA from 1 species
GACAGAGGGUGCAAACGUUGUUCGGAAUUACUGGGCGUAAAGCGCGCGUAGGCGGCUGUCUAAGUCGGGUGUGAAAGCCCCGGGCUCAACCUGGGAACUGCAUUCGAUACUGGACGGCUAGAGUAUGAGAGAGGGAGGUAGAAUUCCACGUGUAGCGGUGAAAUGCGUAGAUAUGUGGAGGAAUACCGGUGGCGAAGGCGGCCUCCUGGUUCAAUACUGACGCUGAGGUGCGAAAGCGUGGGGGAGCAAACAGG